CACCAAAAUCUCGCUGAAUGUGCUCCCUGUUUGUUGUCAGCGGUGGUAAGUAUGUAUAAUGGUAGAGGUAAGUUUGUUUCCGAGUAAGAGACGACUUUGCGAAUAAGUAGUGUGGCGUAUAUUUAAUUGAUACUUUCUUUCGUUAAUACAGGACUCGUGGUGCUAGUAGUGGAUGGCAAUUGUGCUACGUUUUUAAGUGCAAUUAAGAAAGGGAACAUUUUUGACCAAGGGGAAAGAGUGGUAAACUAGCAAACUGAAGAAAUACCUGAUCGUCGGCUGUUGGGUAUAAAUUUUGAGGGACAAUAUUAUAAUUACAGAUGAUAAACGUUUCGAUAGUAAUUGCAUGUAGUAUGAUGAGUGGAGUCUUUAUUUUUUAAAAUUUUGAUUCUAAAUGUUUUAGUGUAUGAGUAUAUGUGCCGGUGCAAACCGGGAAAUUUCUUUUGAUUGGAAUUUUUCAGACAAUUUUGACCAGUAAUUGAAUGAAGAAUAGAAGCAUUUCACGAUUGGAAUGUGAUGAGAAUGUAAAAAAAAAAAAAAAAAAAAAAAUACGUAUGUCUUCAACUAUAUCUAAUUUUGUGAAAAAAAAUGCGUGUCUAUUUCUAAUUUUUUUUUAUGUAAUCUAUUUUAUGUAAAUCCCGAGCGUAAGCUUGGGUAGAUCUGGUUUUUUUGUUUGUUUGUUUGUUUCAGAUUGUAGUGCGGUUAAAUGAGACUGCGUUUCGAAAUUGUGCGGUGGAGAAUGCGGUAAUGAGUAAUAGCCCAGAAAUCGUAACAUGACAUUUUUUAUCUACCUGUAAAUUAAAUAUUUGUUACAUGAGUGAACCGAAUUUGCAUAACAAUUUCGUUUCAUUACAGGAUAUAAAUGGUGUAACCGAAGUGUCGAACGUGUAAUAUGUAAAUUAUCUUCCUUUGUUCUACGCACUUUUGCGGGAAGGGAUAUAGGCAUCUAGAUUUGUAUUAAGCGUGUUAUCCGAAAACUAUGAUUAGUGGCAAAAUAAGUAUAAAUUUUUAUUUGUUUAAUGAAACAAUUAUGAAAUGAAUUUAAACUUUGUUUUAAAAAUUGUUUAUUUGUUUUAAAAAUUGUUUAUGACCAGUUUCUGGCGUGUGCAGUUUACCCUGUGCUGUUUCAUUUGUUGCAGUGUGCGAUGUUGGAGUAAGGUAUUGCUGCCGGUAUCUAUUUUUUUCGUCUUAAUAUUUAUUUUUAAAUAAACGUUGCUAAAGCGAGUCUCAUUUUUAUCUGAUUUUUUAUUGAAUGUUAAAUUUUUAUUAAUUAAAGCGAGUAUUUAAUGAUGUCUUAUGUUUGCAGUUAUAUUUUUCUUGAUGCCUUUUUAUUAAUUUUAACAAAAGUUAAAUUUCCAUUAUUGUUGAAAAUAUGUGCUUGCAGAAAAACCCGUGUCGUAGUUGAAUUAACUAUAAUUAUACUGUAAAGCAUCGAAUGUUAAAACGUGAAAUUAUGAGUGCGAUGUACUGGGCGUAAGCCCAGCAAAAUGUUUUCGUUUCUCUUUUUUGCAGAUACUUUUCGACCGUGUAAAGCAAUCAAGAAAUCAGAAUGUUGAAAACUAACCUGUUCGGUGGUAAGAUAAACUUAUAAAAAACUUAUAAAAUUACGAUUGUUGAAGAAAAAAUUGGGAACUGACAAUUGAAAACCAAAGUGAGUUAAUAUACAGAGGAGUACUUGGAGAAAGACCAACUCUGUCCCAUGCAUAAAAGUUUUGUUUUGACCGUUUAGAGGACAUAUUCUUCGUGGUCCUGGGAAAAGACGUUGGCUGACCUGUGGGAGCAUAUUUCAAUUUGCAAAUGCUUGGUAAAAUUUAAGAAUUUUUCAUUCUUUACAUAUUUAUCAGAUAAAAGAAUUAGGUAUUUUAUGAAAUAUGCUAUCGUGAAUAUUCCAAUUAAUAAUUGGUCACAAAAAUUUAUUUGUGAAAGUGAAAAUGAGUCCUAGCACAUUCUAGACCUGCCGAUCUUAAAAUUUUCCCAUUGGGUAUUUCAGAUCUGCAGUAUGAAGGCUAAAAGAAUUUGAAGAGCUUUCCAUUUCUUGUGAUAAAUCAAAGGUUAUAAAAUUAGGUUUUUGAUUUUCAGGUGAAAGAAACUAGUUUCUUAAAGAAAAAGUAUUAUUGAAAAAAAUUGAGCUGUAAGGUGGCUGUUUAUGCAUAUUCUAGUACUUGCAGAGGUCUAAUUUUCCCCAUUUGGUAAUUUUCAUGUUUUUCAUCAAGUAUUGACAAAAUUUUUGAUUUUUUUGUAAGAAUUAUAAGAUAUAAGAAGUGCUAAUAAAUACUGUAAUUAUCUUUAACUGUGUAGCAUCGAUUUUUUUUGGUGUAAAAUUAAGAUAUACUGGGCAAAGCCCAGGGAAAUGUUUUCGUUUUUCUUUUUUUUUCCAGACAUCUUUCGACUGAAAAUCACAAUGAAGGUGGUCAGAAUGUUGAAACUAUAAACUGCCCCGUUUCGUGGUAAGAUUGACUUGAUCAUAUUGGAUGGAACACGGAAACUGGCAAUUAAAAAACAAAGUUUGUUAGCUUGUUUUGAUUCGUUUUUUUAAGUUUAGAUGCUUGAAUUACUUAACGUACGUUAGCCAUUUUUUUAACGCUGUUGAAUAGGAAUGAAUACAGCAAGUCGCAAUAAGAGGCGUACUUGGAUCGACUCCGACUCUUGUCUGUUAUUGACUGGUUAGAAGACAUAUUCCUGGUUGUUCUGGAAAAUGACACUGGCUGCUGAGCUGUAGGAGCAUAUCUUAAUUUUCAAAUGUUUGACGCCUAUCGACUGUGUAAAGCAUAAUCAAGAAUGGUCAAAAAGUUGGAAAAAUAAAACUACCCCAUUAGGUGGUAAGAUUAACUUGAUGAUAUUGAAGGAAAAGAAAAUCGGGAAUCGACAAAGUUUGUUAGCUUGUAUUCAUUCAUUUUAUUUUAAAUCAUUUAGAUAGUUAUCAUUUAGAUGCCAAGUUACCAAAAUUUUUAACACUGUUGAAUAGGAACAUCAGUUAGCAAGUUUUCUACAGACACACGGGUAAUGCGAGAGGGACCAACUCGGUCUUUUGUUAUGACUGUUAGAAGACGUACUGCUGGUGGUCAUCGGAAAUGAAAUUGGCUGUUAAACUGUAGGAGCAUAUCUUAAAUUUCAAAUGUGUGGUAAAAUUUUGGAAUUUUUAUUCUUUCUAAAGUUAAUCGGAGUAAAAUUUAUAAUACUUGUGAAUAUUCAAUUACUAAUAGAUCUUGCAAAUACUAAUAGAUCUUGCAAAAUAACUCAUCUUUUAAAGUAAAAAAAAAGUAAAAAAAUAUGUAGAUCUUAAUUUUCUUAAAAGAAAUUGAUUAUUUAAAGAAUUAAGCUAUGUAAGCACAUUCUAGCAUACCUGCAGAUCUCAAAUUUUCUUACCAGUUAUGUUUUUUUAUCUGCAGUUGUAUGAAGGCUAGGAAGAGUUUGCAAAGCUUUUCACAUUUUUUUUGCAUGUGAAGGUAUAGGAAUGUGAAUUGAGCAGUUGCAUAUUUUCUUCUGAAUGCUUAGAAGUAAAAAAUUUGUUUUUAAAAUUGCUAAAAUUUGGCAGGAUUCUUGUCAUUUUAUAUUCUAAGGAUAUUGAAUUUUAAUUAAUGCUCUUAAUAAUAAAAAUUCAUUUGUAAUAUGAAUGUUUUGCACAAUUAACUGAGGUGUGCCUAAAAAUAACUAGACUAUGUAAAUGUUUUUAUUAAAGUAGUUAAACUAAACUAUAUUUAAGUGUUAAAAAUGGGAUAUACUGGGCUUGGCCCAGUCGAAAUGUCUUCCUCUUUCUUUUCAGAUUUUGUUUUUGGAAAAAUGUGUUCUUUUGGCCAUGGGAGAUGGUAGAUUUCUACAGUAAAAGUUAGUCUGAAGCAAAUAACAGAAUGUGAAGUUAGCUUGUUUUAAUAAAUUUUCCUAUUAGUUUCUAAAGAAGAAUAAUUUUUAUUUUUAGUUUGAUUAAAACUUGCAUACAUUUAGCAGCCAAAUUUUUUAUGUUAUUCAACAGGCUCUGUAUUUCCCAAGGUACAUCCCACGAGUGAUAAAAUUGCAUUCCUUUUUCUCUUCUGCCUCUUUGAAUUCUGGAGACAAAAUGCCCUACUUUCUCAGCAGGGAAAUGUUCUCGAUUGUCCUGUCUGCUUUUACAUUUAGAAGAGUUAUCCCAACAAGUUGUCAGCUGUUGCAGGAAAUCAAAUCUCUUAAACCCAAGAAACAUGCCCUGUUGCAGGAAAUCGAAUCUCUUAAACCCAAGAAAUAUGUGCCAUGAGCUGUUUGUUGACUGUGAGAGCUAUGUUGACAACUGUAACUCCAUUAGUACAAAUAAGUGAAAAGCAAUCUCGUUUAGAAGUAGCUGAAGGUUACAAUUAUAUGUUUGUAUUGAAUUUAAAGUAAUUAAUUAUUAACUUAACAGAUUUUGUGCUAAAAUAAAAUUUGAAGACUACCUUAUUUAGAAAAGACCUGUGUAUAAGAGAGCUAUGUUGACAACUGUAGAUCCUUAGUACAAAUAAGUGAAAAGCAGUAUUAGCUGGAGGUAACAAUUAUGUGUUUGUAUUAAAAAAUUUUAAGUAAUUAUUAAUUUACUUGACAGAUUUUGUGCUAAAAUCUAAUUUGAAGACUACCUUAUUUAGAAAAGAGAGUUUUAACAGUUUAAAGUUUAAAACAAUACCUGUUCAAGAACAGUCAAUUUGUUUAUACCUAUUUAAGAACAGUCAAUUUGUUAAAUAGGUUUAAAUGUCUUAUGUAGUAAGAUGAAAAAAAAAAAGUGCUAUUAGUAUGAGAACUGCAUACACUAGUUUGAAACAGGAAAGCUGCUUCAGUGUAUGAAUAAUAAAAAAAAAGUUGUUUCAGUUAUUUGCAGUUAAUGCAUGGAUUAUAACAAGUUGUUUUAAUUAUUUGCUAAAUUUUAAAAUUGUAGGCAUUGGUUGCAUCAUAAUGGAAGAAUUAAAAAAAAUAGUUUUGAUAAAGAAGCUGAUACUUUCAUAACUGAAAUUUAAUUUUUAUCUUGAUGCUUCCUCUGUAGUACUGUAUUUUGAACAGAAAUUCUGUUUACUGAAAUCAAUCGGGACAACCUGAAAUAUUUCUGAUGUUAAUCACUUAAAUCUAGUUGAAGGAAAUAUAUUUUCUUUAAAUAUAUAUGAAAAUAGCACUUUUAUAAGAAAGCAAAUUGAAUGUUCAAAUUCCGGAAAGAAAUAGCUUAAGUUAUGCCUAUAAAAAAAGUAUUGAGUUAAUAGAUGUUUUUAAAAUUGAUUGCAGAAAUGAGAUGGUUUGGUUUUUUCAGGGGAAUCUUAACACCAGUAAGAAAAGCAUAACUUAAAAAGUUCUAUUUCUGGAAGAGUGAAAGGUCUUGCAUUUAACUGAAUAAAAUUUUUAGUUAACUAAAAUUUUUAAUCAAGUUAAAACAACAUGGAGUCUAAUAAGUGUGCUUUAUCUAUUAGUGUCUUUUCUUUUCAUUGGUAGUAUCUGUAGAUAAGUUAUUUGACCCAUCUGGAUCUUAGGAGCUGUGUUAUUUCCUAUUUUUCAAAUGUGUCCCUAUUUGCAAGUUUAGUGAAAAUUCGCUCCAGAACUCCCACUGCAACAGUAACGUGAUAGAUGUGUGGUAAAACUAUUAGUAUAUUCUGCACAAUUGCCUCUCCACAACAGAAUUUAAAUACACAGGACUAAUGGACUAAAUCAUGUGUGUGAAGUUGAAUGAUGUUAUAAUUGGAUUUUAACUAUAAUUGUAUGAAAUAAUUCAUAUGUAAAAUAUUUUGCUAAUCUGUGAAAUAAACUAGGCACUGAUAAAUUCAAUUCUUGCAUUAUGUAAAAUACAUAUAUGAAAAAUGUGUUAAUAAAGAUACUAAAAUGUCCA